rnacentral:rRNA from 1 species
UGGGAACGCGCCCUUUGGUUCGGAAUAACUCAGGGAAACUUGAGCUAAUACCGGAUAAGUCCGUAAGGAGAAAGAUUUAUCGCCGAAGGAGCGGCCCGCGUCCGAUUAGCUAGUUGGUGGGGUAAUGGCCCACCAAGGCUACGAUCGGUAGCUGGUCUGAGAGGAUGACCAGCCACACUGGGACUGAGACACGGCCCAGACUCCUACGGGAGGCAG